rnacentral:hammerhead_ribozyme from 1 species
AUCCAGCGGACGAGUUCCUAAUAGGAUGAAACGCGCGUCCUGGAA